rnacentral:tRNA from 1 species
GGGGAUUUAGCUCAGCGGCAAGAGCGCCUGCCUUGAAAGCAGGCAGUCGUGAGUUUGAUCCCCA